UUUCAUUUUCUUAUUAAUAAUCAGGCCCACAUAAGUAUUAGCCUCUGGAAAAUUCCUCAUCAUCCAUUUCCCCCAAUUUCUUCGUCUCCAAACCCUAGCCUCCGCCGCGGAAAAAACCCUAGCUCUUUUGUUCUCUCUUCGAUCUUCCCCCAUGGCGAAGAAGAGAAAGUCUCGAACCUCUGAAGCCACCCAACCCCAGCCAGAACCCGUACAAGUCAAACCCGAACCAGAACCAGAACCGGAACCGGAACCGGAACCCCAGCCUGAGCCAGAACCUGAGCCCCAACCCGAGAAUGAGCCAGUUCAGGUCAAACAAGAAGAAAUGGAGGCAGAUCAAGAAGAAGAAGUCGAGGAAGAAGUUGAGGAAGAAGUCGAAGAAGAAGUAGAGGAGGAGGAGGAGGAGGAAGAUGAUGGAGUUGAGGAACAACAAGAAGAGGAAACCCUAAUUAAGACGGAGACUACCGAAAUUAAACAAUCCAAUGGCGGAGCUGAAGAGCAACUGAACAGUAAGGAUGAGGAUUUGGAUGACGAGCCGUUCGAGAAACUGCUGGAGCCGUUUUCGAAGGACCAGAUGGUGGUUUUGAUAAAAGAAGCGGUUUCCAAGCACCCUGAUUUGAUGGCGAGUGUUAGAAAGCUAGCGGAUGCAGACCCAGCUCACCGGAAGAUCUUUGUUCACGGUCUUGGAUGGGAUACUACUGCGGAAACCCUAACUAGUGUGUUUGGGAAGUAUGGGGAGAUUGAGGAUUGCAAGGCGGUUACGGAUAAGGUUUCAGGGAAGUCGAAAGGUUACGGUUUUAUACUGUUUAAGAGGAGGAGUGGGGCGCGAAAAGCAUUGCUUGAGCCACAGAAGAAGAUUGGGAAUAGGAUGACUUCUUGCCAGCUAGCUUCUACUGGCCCUGUCCCUGCCCCACCUCCUACUGCGCCACCUCCGGUGUCUGAGUAUACUCUGAGGAAGAUAUUUGUGAGUAAUGUGGCAGCAGAGCUUGAUCCGCAGAAGUUGUUGGAUUUCUUUACGAAGUUUGGGGAGAUUGAGGAUGGGCCUUUGGGGUUGGAUAAGCAGACUGGGAAGCCAAAAGGGUUUUGUUUGUUUGUGUAUAAGACUGUUGAGGGUGCGAGGAAGGCGUUAGAGGAGCCACAUAAGAAUUUUGAAGGGCAUACCUUGCAUUGUCAGAAGGCGAUUGAUGGGCCUAAGCCAAGCAAACAGUUUCCUCAGCAGCAACAGCAGCAGCAUCAGCAGCAUUAUGCUGGUGGUCAGCACCAUCAGCAGCAGUAUUAUGGGCAUCCUUCAAAGAAAGGGAAGUAUUCGAGUAGUAGCGGUGGUGCAGGGUCUGCUGGACAUUUGAUGGCUCCUACUUCUGGCCCAGCUGUGGGUUUUAAUCCUGCUGUUGCCGGGGCUGCGUCUGCAUUGAACCCGGCUCUUGGGCAGGCGCUAACAGCCUUGCUGGCCACUCAGGGUGCUGGUUUGGGUAUUGGGAAUUUGCUUGGAGGACUUGGGGCGCCAGUGAACCAAGGUGUGCCGCCUGUUAUGAAUAAUGCUGGGUAUGGAGGACAGGGUGUUGGUGGCUACGGGACUCCGCCUGGUAUGCAGGGAGGGUAUCAGAACCCACAGAUGGGGUCGCAGGGCGUUCGGCCACCACAAGGUGGUGCACCUUAUAUGGGACAUGGACACUAGGUCAGUUGGAAGGUAUGUCUUGUUUAACUGAUCUCGUGCUUUGUAAUGCUUCUAUUUGUGGUUAGAUAAAUAUAUUUCUAGAUUUUUAAUCUUAAUAUGCUGAAAAAGAAAUUGCUUGGAACAAAAUGGAAUACGUUCAUAAAAUCAAGUGAGAGUAGAUAUACAUAAGUUGCCUGUUUUAGUUGGAAUCUUGUCUGUUUAUGUCCAGCUUGUAGAGAAGUUAUGCAUUUAUUGUGGAGGUAUUUGUAUCUGAUUGGAACUUGUAAUUUAAGAUGAUUAGGAUGCUAUGCUUUUAUGCUGAAGUGAAGAAAGGACAGUAAACAAGAGAAAAAGUAAAAGAGAGCUUUUCUUGCUUGCUUGAGAUUUUGGAGAGGAAAAGGCCUUUGAUUAUCCUCUUUUUUUGGGAUUUGGAUAGAAAAGAAAUUAGAAAUUUCUUGUUCUCAUGGUUCUUUUUUUUGGGUGUCUAAGAAUGAUUAUUACUUUUAUUAUGAGGACUUGUCUUUUCCCUAACUUUUUCUUGAAUUUGGAAUGUUAUAGCACCUUCAUUUUUUUGUGGUCCCUUCAUUUGAUUCUUCCUGGAUCAGAAAAGGGGUCUUUGACAGGUUAGGGAACCAUUGAGUUCAUCACAGUCACCUUGUACUUGCACUUUUGGGGAUUGAGAAGCAUGUUCUGUAGCAAAUUUUUUUCUGCAGUUUUUAGCAUUGACCUUUUUAUCCAUAUGAAUAUGUAGGUUGAUGUAUGUAACUUUGUGAGUUCAGAGGACAAAACUGGGCCUUGAAGACCAUUGUCUUCUCUUUUUUACUUGUUGAAAUUGGACCUUAAUAGCAGAACUGUUAAUAGGACAAGAAACGCUAGAAGCAUGAUUUUGGUAGGGCAAUAAGGUUUUAACUCAAUCUAAGAUUUUAUUAAAUAAUAAAUGAUUUUGAAUUGAUCUCUACCUCGUGGCAAAAAUAUGGCCAAUAUAAUUUUUCUUGAAGAUUAAGGCAUACAAUCAAAGUGCACAAGAGUUUUAACAAAAAGUCUAGCAGUGCAGAAUUCUGAUAUUGGUGUUACCACAGCCAGUUGUAAUGCAUUUAGCAUUGUCUAGAUCAACUGAGGCCUAGGUCUGCUUUCAACAUGUCAAUUCAUAUUGGUUGGUGUAACUGUUUUACUAAUGGGUUAUUGAUUAAAAAUGUAAAUAGUUAAUUUGGGUCUAAGUUUGGGGUUUUUUUUUGUUUGGGGGGGGGAGGAGGGUUGGAUUUAUAAGCCAUUUGUUGAUUUGGAGUGCCAUGUGUAGCAUUUACUCUCUCUGUUGGCUUUUGAUGUUUAUUGUUUUUACCAUUAUGUCACUGGUUUGGUUUUCUUACAUGACAUCUCUUUUUGGAGGUCCUCAAUGACAUUUACCAGGUACACUGUAUCAUGUUGUUUUGCAUGUUGUAAGGUAAACAUAUUGGUUAUCGAGAUAAUUAUGGUUUAGAAGCAGUGGAAUUGCUUUAGUGGUUUCUGAUUGUUAUUUGCAAGUGCAAAAUAAGUGUAUUUGACUGCUCUUGAUGCCAAUUAUUUGGAUUUGCUUUUACUUUCAAACUUAUUCAGUGUCAAUUUUUUCUCCUCCAUAUGCAUAUUCAUUAAUGAGACAGCAAAUUCGACACUCUGUCCCUAUAACCUGUGAUGUACUUAAAAUAUUUCCAAACCAUCAUUUUAAGGGAAUGGAACUUGUGAAAUCUUGUCCUGUAUUAUCAUAGAGGGUGCAUUCCUUUGCAUUUACAAGCACAAUUUUCAUGUUCACAUACAACCUUUCCUGUUCCACUAUUUGUUUAUAUUUGAGGUGAAAUUUCAAAAGGUAACUUCUGGAAUUAAUGAAAGCAAAAUAUUAAUUAUUGUUCUUUUCAACAUUAUGUUUUGCAAGGUAUUGGUUUGAGCUAUGAGCAGUUAUCUUGUCUUUUCUCUAAAAAUUGGUUUUUUCCCUUCAAAGCGGGGUUUUCACACACUAAUAUUCAUUGUGCAGAUUCCUUCAUAAAUGCACCAAUCUUUUAUUUUGGACUGGUGAUUCUUCUGAAGUUCCAGGCUCUCUUGCAAAUGAAGUCUUUAUAACGUUGCAAAAGUUAUUGUUUGCUUAAAGACCAGAUUUAAACAUGUAUUUUCCUAGCCGAGUAUUUCGCUUUUGUUGACUGCUUUUCAAAAUUAUGUAGUACUUUGUUUCCAAUAAUUUUCUUUUUCAAAAAUAUAUUGAGAAGCAGGUCAGUAUCUCUAACUUUGAUGGAUGGUUCUUAUCAAAAGUUUUAGCUCUAUUUGAGGACUAUGUACCUUUAGAUCUGAAUCCGAUGUUAAUUCAUUUGUAAUUCUCCUUUCACGUUGCUCAACA